UACAGAGGUCCCAAGCGUUGUUCGGAUUUAUUGGGCGUAAAGGGUGCGUAGGCGGCGGAGUAAGUUGGGUGUGAAAUCCCGGGGCUUAACCUCGGAAUUGCAUUCAAUACUGCUUCGCUAGAGUACUGGAGAGGAGGCUGGAAUUUACGGUGUAGCAGUGUAAUGCGUAGAUAUCGUAAGGAAGGCCGGUGGCGAAAGCGAGCCUCUGGACAGUUACUGACGCUGAGGCGCGAAAGCGUGGGGAGCAAACAGG
rnacentral:rRNA from 1 species